UGAUGCAGGUGAACUUUCCUCAGUUAUAAAUUGAAGGGCUUGGAGGGGUCUUUAUAUACAGUAUAAAGGAUAAGAUGAUCAAGAAGAUGGGACCCUUUGAGGGAUGAAAGCUGAGGAAUUAUUUAUAGGAGCAUCUCGCAGUAUUAUGAAGUGAGAAAAUUGUCAAACAUAUACUGAUAGAAAGAAAAUACCAGCUGAGAAAAUGAAGUUCAUGAAAAUUGGGACCAGGCCAGACACCUUCUACACAGAAGAAGCUGUCAGGACUUUGAUCUCAGAUGUACCUAGUGAUCUUUCUAUACAGAUUAACAACAUCAGCUAUCUUCUCCAUAAG